rnacentral:rRNA from 1 species
UACGUAGGGUGCAAGCGUUGUCCGGAAUUAUUGGGCGUAAAGAGCUCGUAGGCGGUCUGUCGCGUCGGAUGUGAAAAUCCAGGGCUCAACCCUGGACCUGCAUUCGAUACGGGCAGACUAGAGUUCGGCAGGGGAGACUGGAAUUCCUGGUGUAGCGGUGAAAUGCGCAUAUAUCAGGAGGAACACCGGUGGCGAAGGCGGGUCUCUGGGCCGAUACUGACGCUGAGGAGCGAAAGCGUGGGGAGCGAACAGG